GCCUUCGUGGUGUAGUAGUCAGCUCACUCGACGCGUAACCGAGAGGUCCGUGGUUCGAUUCCCGGAGAAGGCG
rfam:Stegodyphus mimosarum contig44365, whole genome shotgun sequence.